rnacentral:rRNA from 1 species
GAUGAACGCUGGCGGCGUGCUUAACACAUGCAAGUCGAACGGAAAGGCUCCUGCUUGCAGGGGUACUCGAGUGGCGAACGGGUGAGUAACACGUGGGUGAUCUGCCCAGCACUUCGGGAUAAGCCUGGGAAACUGGGUCUAAUACCGGAUAGGACGAUGGUUUGGAUGCCAUUGUGGAAAGUUUUUUCGGUGUGGGAUGAGCUCGCGGCCUAUCAGCUUGUUGGUGGGGUAAUGGCCUACCAAGGCGUCGACGGGUAGCCGGCCUGAGAGGGUGUACGGCCACAUUGGGACUGAGAUGCGGCCCAGACUCCUACGGGAGGCAGCAGUGGGGAAUAUUGCACAAUGGGCGCAAGCCUGAUGCAGCGACGCCGCGUGGGGGAUGACGGCCUUCGGGUUGUAAACUCCUUUCGCUAGGGACGAAGCGCAAGUGACGGUACCUGGAGAAGAAGCACCGGCUAACUACGUG